GUGAGGAAUAUUGCGCAAUGGAGGCAACUCUGACGCAGCCAUGCCGCGUGCAGGAAGAAGGCGCUACGCGUUGUAAACUGCUUUUAACCGGGAAGAAACCCCAGGACGUGUCCUGGGUUGACGGUACCGGAGGAAUAAGCACCGGCUAACUUCGUGCCAGCAGCCGCGGUAAUACGAAGGGUGCAAGCGUUAUCCGUAUUCAUUGGGUUUAAAGGGUGCGUAGGCGUAGCGUUAAGUCAGUGGUGAAAUCCUGCAGCUUAACUGUAGACUUGCCAUUGAUACUGGCGCUCUUGAGUGCGCUUGAAGUGGGCGGAAUGUGCCGUGUAGCGGUGAAAUGCUUAGAUAUGGCACAGAACACCAAUUGCGAAGGCAGCUCACUAAGGCGAUACUGACGCUGAGGCACGAAAGCGUGGGGAUCGAACAGGAUUAGAAACCCCAGUAGUCC
rnacentral:rRNA from 1 species